GAAAUAUAUAAAAAAUAAGCUUCUAACUUAAUUUUAAAGCACUAGUGUUUGUAUUUCU
rnacentral:tRNA from 1 species